GCUAGCUCCGGGGUGGGGGCGGGUGUAAUAGGGGGGGUUCUGGCGUUAUGCGGAUUUAGUGGGGUUAAAGGGUGCGUAGGUGGAUUGUUAAGUCAGUGGUGAAAGUUUUCAGCUCAACUGAAAAAUUGCCGUUGAAACUGUCGAUCUUGAGUGCAAAUGAGGUAGGCGGAAUGUGUUGUGUAGCGGUGAAAUGCUUAGAUAUGACAUAGAACACCAAUUGCGAAGGCAGCUGGCUACCCGAAUAUUGACACUGAGGCACGAAAGCGUGGGGAUCAAACAGGAUUAGAUACCCUGGUAGUC
rnacentral:rRNA from 1 species